GCCCGGAUGGUCUAGUGGUAUGAUUCCUGCUUCGGGGUCUAUGUGGAAUUACUCCUCUUAUAUACAUAAGAUUGAAAUGCAGGAGGUCUCGGGUUCGAAUCCCGAUUCGGGCC